ACGGGUUGGGGGAGCAGUGGGGCCCUGUUGCCGCUGAGCUCUGCGUGAGGGAGGGCUGGCAGCUGCAAGGUGGCCCGGCACAGGUGUCGCUGGAUGGGAACGUCACUCUCCAACAAUGCUGCCCCACGCCUCUCCCGCAGCUGACGAAAGGCUGCAGCUGCAGCGAUGGCAACAAGGCCCUGAGCACCUAACAUGACAUGCCGGGGACGCCACCCGCAGCCCUGUCCCUGUGGCUGUCUGCACGCCAUCCAUCUGCGGCCUGCUCGCGACACCUGCAGCCAGGCUCCCGGCCACUCUCUCCGCGCUCCAGCCCCCGGCUCCUGUGUGACCGGUGGCCCGUUCAGGCCUGGCACGGACUCCUGGCAUUGGGCACGGUGUGAGUGGCAUGCCAGCCUCAAAAAUGAUGGAGUGUCCCUGGCCACCACCCCCCAAGGGCCUGGUUGCCCGACUGCCCUCCGGCCAGAACCCACCUGGCUCCCUCCGUGCUCUGCGAAAGGCCGGGAGCAGAUGGCGAAUUACCGGGGCUGAUUUACAGCGACGCGGAGUCAGCCGAGGUCCCUCAGCCAUGGAGUCGAGUUUCAAGUGCUCAAUGGUCACAUGUGGCUACUGGUUACUGCGCUAGACAGGGCAGACGGAGAAGCUUCACGUCACCCCGGAACAUUCUACCCGAGGGGCUGGUGGAGAGAAGGCGGGUUUUAAGUGACAAGAGCUGAUACCUCCGUGUUGCUGACGUGCAGACGCACCCUUGCCUGCGUGCCUCCCUCUGCGUGCACAGACCAUGCGCUGCUCCAAGAACGCUACGUGCAUGGAUUCAGUAUAGCCACCCUGGAGGGCAGGAUUUCAUGUCUGAGAUCAGCAAACGUUUUCUGUGCAGAACCAGACGGUGAGUACUUCGGGUGUGGCUAUUUUCGGCUCUGUGGGCCAUACAGUCUCCGUCACCCCCACCCAACCCUGCCGUCGUGGCGUGAAAGUGGCCGCGGACCACACAGAAACGGACGGGCCCGGCCGUGUUUCAGUAAAUGUUUAUGGGCGCGAUAAUGUUUAAUUUCGUGUCAUUUUCGCAGGUCCCAAAAUAUUCUUCGAUUUUUUUUUUCCAACCAUUUAAAAAUGUAAAAACCGUUCUUACGGGCUGAACGAAAACAGAGAGCGGGCCGGCCCCCGAUUCGCAUCAUCCCAUUUCACAGAUGUGGAAAGCGAGGCACAGGGAGACCACAGGGGCUGUCUGGGGUCCCACAGCCACAGACGGCAGAGCUGAGACUUGCUUCCGCCUCUCCCCACGUCAGCGGCGGUGCGGCUGCAGGCAGUGGUCGUUGCUGUCAAGGCACCACGAGGGUGAUAGGGCAGCAACCAGGGGAGAGGCCGGCGUCUAGAUCAGAUGAACAAGAGGACCUUACCAAGGAUUCCUCUUGGCCUGAGACAGCUGAGGAGAAGGACGCAGCCGUGGGAUGACCCGGAGGUGCACCCGGGCAGAGGGACGUGCAAUGCCGGCUGCGGUGGCGCGAGCCAGUGCGCAGGAGCGGUGGGGGAGGGGCGGACCGGCAGGGCCUGGGUGUGGCGACAGGCACUGUUUCAAAUGCAAAGGGUAGUCACUGGGCAUUUUAGCAGGAAAACGACUUGUAAGAUUCACGAGUAUAACCACAGACCACCCUCGGUGCAUAAGAGAGAGGCAGGAAGCCAGUUAGAACGCCGCUGUCGCCCACACAGGCGAUGGCGGUGGCUGAGAGGGGCAGAGGCCGGGGAGACACAGGGAUGGGGAUGGACUCGGCUGUCUUUUGAAUUGGGGCCAACAGGAUUUAUCGUUCCCGUAGAUGCGGGAGGUUAGGGAGAGGGAAACGUGGAGUGACUGGUUCUGUGUGCUUGUGCGAUGGGUGGGAUGUUCAGCCACACGGAGGCUGGGAGGGCAGGGAGGGGGACCGGUCUGGGAGAGGAAAGCAAGAUUUCUGCCCUGAAACACGCUGAGCUCGAGAUGCCAUUGGACAUCCAAGCAGUGACAGCCAAGGGCGUUUGAUACUGGAAUCUCGAGCCCAGCGAAGAGGCCAGGGCAGGAUUCACGGAUGUGGGGAGCGGCAGCAGGUUAGAGCCGUGGGUCGGAGGGAAAAGGAGCAGGCACUGAGGGGAGGGAGUUGCACUAGCGCAAGGUCACGGGGAUGUGGGGUCACGGGAGUGUGAGGUCACAGGACUGUGAAGUCACGGGGCUGAGAGAGAAGGGAGAGUUUGGAAGAUUUCAGAGAACUUCAGAGCAGGUCAAGGUGCAGCAAGGACAGGGAGGUGAGGAGAGCUGGCCAGCGUGGAAUUCAGCUACGUGGCGCGAGCAGCGCCCUGCACACAGCAGCUUCCGUAGGUGGGGGGGACACUCCCUCCCCAGAGGCCAGGUCAUAGUGGAGCGUGUCCAAGGCUUCCGGUCACUGCAACCACCAGAAGGAAGAGCUAGCGCCACUGCUUCCCUCUUGACGAGGUCACAAGGUCAAGGGCAGGGGUCCACAGGUGAGUCUCCCCGUUCUAAACGCUUUGCAGUAGAAUGGCUGGAGUGGGGGUCAGCAGGUCUGUCUGCCAAGGGCCACAUGGCAAACAUUUUAGGUCUUGUGGGCCAGACGGUCCCUGUCACAACUUUCUCAAUUCUUCCGUUGUAGCAUGAAAGCAGCCACAGACACAACACAGAACAGUAUUUACAAAAUCAUGCAGUGGGCUGGAUUUGGCCCAGGAGCUAUCAAAGGACAGGGGCAGGAGCUGUCUUAAGAGGAGAGGGAUGGGUGUGGUCUCCAGCAGAGAGGACGAGAAGGAUGUCACAAUGCCAGCCAGCCACUGGCCAAAGCCUUCUGAAGGUGCUGGCCGUGAGGGCAGUCUGAUGCUAAUUUCUGAGCUUAGCUGAUUUUUGGCAGGAGGUGGAGGGUCCAACCUGCAGCUACGGGAGAGACGCAGAGCAGGCAGGCUGGGCACGUGCACCUGUGUGUUGGGGAGGGGGCCAGUGGGAGAGGAUGGAGGAGACAUAGGAUGUCCCACGGGGCCACCUCCCCUGUGAGCCUGCGGCAAGUCUGCGUUUUGUGUGAUUCAAGGCACUGCAGCCUUCCUGUAUAGGACCAAGGUCUUCGCGCACAUUACCCCCACCUUCGCCCACAUCCCACUGAAACAGUAGUGAGAAGUGCCAGUGGGAGUAUCUGGAGAACCUGCUGAGGACAGCAGGGAGCCACCCACGGGCCAGAGGUUUGGAUGUGGUCAGGUCGGUGGGGAGGAGCCACCACCCAAAACUCACCCGGACUUGGGGAGGUGGCAGGGGCACAGAGGAUUCCUGCUCCCCUUUACAGUCUACAAAUGUCGGGCAGCCGUGGAAGGUGAGUCUAAGUCAGCCCGCUGCGCCAGUCAGCGGCUCCCAGCCCUGUGCAGGUAGAGUGACCGGCAGGGGCCGUAUUGACCCCCGGGUGAAGAGCAGGAACGUGCUCUCUGCAGAACUGAUUACCCGAGGAAGGCGAGGUCGGCGGGUGGCUGCGAGGCUGGCAACGCCACCGCCUCCUGCAUUUGCCAGCGCGCCUCUCCCCGUCCCGGCCUUGCGCACGCCGCAGAGCUCAUGGGAGCCGCUUGCUCACAGGACAUCAGGGGACACGUGCUUCUCGUUUUACCUCUUUCCACCCUCCUGUAUUGUUUUACAGGCAAGUAUUACGUUUACAAACAUUUUUAAGAUAAGCAAAGAUUAAGAUGAAAUACACCACAUUUAACAAAAUGUUAGUAUUUUAUAACGUAGAAGGAGUUUUCAUAAAUAAUGAUAAAGGCAACUCUGCAGAAAAUGGCCAAGGAAUAUAAACAAAUUACAGAAAAACAAUGGCUAAUAUGUGCACUAGGACCAGGGGAAAACACAGAAUUUACCCCCAGAUAGUUCAAAUGAUGGCAAUUAAAUAAAGGGUCACCUAACAGAGGGAUGGGCAGGGUUGAGGAAAGGGGCAAUGGACAAUGAAGCGGCCAGAGGCUGGCAGCAGCAGGAAGCUGUCACCACUCCUAGGCUAAACCGGCAGUGGGAGCAAAGUGUCACCUGAGUCCCGAAGAAGUGGAACACGGAGGAAGGGCUGCCCUGUACGGGCUUUAGUUUUAAAAUGAUGCCAACACCAGAGUCUCGGGGUUGGAGCAGGGUGGAAUACCCCGACCCCUCCCUCUUCUUUCCCCCCCUCCAAACUCCUGUCCCAGCGUUCCAGAAGUCCAUUCCAUAGACAAACUCACACAUAUCCACAAAAUGUGAGUAGAAACAUUUUCACUGCAGCAUUAUUUAUAAUGGAAAAAACCAGAAACAAUAUAAAUGUCCAAUAAUAGGGAUGAUGAUGUAGAUAAAGAUUAUGAUGGCCAAUACUUGUGUGCGUGUGUGUGAGUGUGUGUGCACACUUAGUAUGUGUCAGGACUGAGUCUGAGCAGUUUGCAUGUAUCAUCCCAUUUAAUCUCACAAUAAUCCCAUGUGGCAGGCACUAUUAUUCCCAUUUUAGAUGAGUAAAUUGAACAUCAGUAGGAGUAGAGUGAAACUAUAACACAGGCAUACUAUGGAACACUGUGCAGUUAUUUUUAAAAAAAGGACAUAGGCCCAGGUAAAUGAAGCUGGAAAGAAACACAUUAAGAAAAAAGGUCAUAGAAAUAUUUGUAUAGUUUGAUCCCUUUUAUAUUUUUAAAUCAGCAAUUCUGUAUGUGUAUAUAGAAAAAAGGUCGGGAAGGACACAGCCAAUAAUGAUGGUCACCUGUUGGGGACACUGGGACCUGGAGAGUGGCAUUUUUAUUUUACAUAUAAGCAGCAUGUGCCCCCCA